rnacentral:rRNA from 1 species
AGUGAACGCUGGCGGUAGGCCUAACACAUGCAAGUCGAACGGCAGCACAGGAGAGCUUGCUCUCUGGGUGGCGAGUGGCGGACGGGUGAGGAAUACAUCGGAAUCUACUCUGUCGUGGGGGAUAACGUAGGGAAACUUACGCUAAUACCGCAUACGACCUAAGGGUGAAAGUGGGGGACCGCAAGGCCUCACGCGAUUGAAUGAGCCGAUGUCGGAUUAGCUAGUUGGCGGGGUAAAGGCCCACCAAGGCGACGAUCCGUAGCUGGUCUGAGAGGAUGAUCAGCCACACUGGAACUGAGACACGGUCCAGACUCCUACGGGAGGCAGCAGUGGGGAAUAUUGGACAAUGGGCGCAAGCCUGAUCCAGCCAUACCGCGUGAGUGAAGAAGGCCUUCGGGUUGUAAAGCUCUUUUGUUGGGAAAGAAAUCCUGUUGAUUAAUACUCGACAGGGAUGACGGUACCCAAAGAAUAAGCACCGGCUAACUUCGUGCCAGCAGCCGC